UCCACUUCCUCGCGUAGAACUCCAGCAGCGCGCGUCCCCUUCCCCUCUCCCUUUCUCUCGUACGAAUGGUAUGCCUAGGUGUCGAAAUCUCCCUUCCCUCUCGUCGUUCCCCUCAAAUUGGACGUCCCAGAUUCUUCUUUCCGUUGAGCGAAUAGUACAAAUUCGUACUAUUCCGUUUCAACCUUAUCCCUUUAGGUUUUUGGAUUUCAAAACGGGACAUGAAAUCGCGAUUUUGCCCCAGCUCUUUUCGUGAUUUUUCCCCGCUCUCCACCAUUGAAAAAUGGCUAUAUAUAUUGUCAUUUCCCCACUGUUUCGGAAGGGUUUUUUUUUUAGGAGGGUUGGAAUUCCAUUGAUAUAAAACACAAAGAUAAUAGAGGAAAUUGGAAAGUUAAGGCAAUUUUCGAAAAAAAUUUCCUUUUUAUGUUCUAUUUCCUUCACUGUCUGUGGAGCGUGUUGAAGUUAUCAGACAUCCAUUGUGGUCGUGGAAGGUCAUCUCCUUACCAGCAAAGUCCCAGUCGCUGCUCGGAGAAAGGUUCAUCAGAACCUGGAAAGCUGCUGGAAAUUUACAUUACAGGUGUUGCAGAAAGCUGUAUACCAGCUAUAUACAUAGUGUAUACACUGAUAUACAAGUUGAAAAUGCACAGGAAAUCUUAAUUCGAAAUGUUGGUGUGUAGCAGUGAAGAUAUGCUUCCAAAAAGGGACUUUCAACUUUCGAAAGUUGAAAAACAGGCUGAUAUACAACAAGUAUACACUGGUAUAUAGGCGUGUAAUACUAUAAAUAUGUGUAAAAAUGUGAAUUGCAGGUUAACGUACUGGGACGCCAAUUUCAGAUAAAAUACGGGAAUAGGCAAUGAAUACGUGCAUAGAAUAAAGCCCGUAUACAUUGGUAUACAUCUUUUGGGCGGCGAUAUACAAUUGUUAAACAGGUUUAAAAAUGGUGCAGGUACAAACACGCAGAAAUAAUAUGGGAAAUACAGGGUGAAUAGCGAGAAAUGCGUAUUCGAUCAAGUGCAUGGCUCAAAAAGUCCAAAAUGAAUUGGAUAUGCACAGUAUACAUAAUUUGUAUACUUUAAUUAAUUUUUCUUUUUUUCAGGAAAUUGGGCUAGGGCCCUUUUCAGCAACAAUUUUGAUAGGCCCAAAAGGCCACAAGUGUUUUUCUGCAGGAUUCUAAAUUGUUAAUAAAAAAAAAGGGUCCGAGCCCACAUUUUGAAAUUAGUUUAGGACAGGUGGGCCAAAGCCCAAAUGAUUGAAUUCGGGCAAUCAAGCCCAAGUUCAAAUAUUUUUCUCUCUAUUAUUUAUUUGUUUGAAUUAAUUAAUAUUUUGGUAGAAUUAUAAUAAUCUCCGAAAGGGCAGCCAUUUUUUCAUUAUUUUAAAUUUUACUAUUUUAUUAACUUAUUUAGUUUUAUUUACUUUUAUCACCAUUUAGUUUUCGUUAAGUUAUUUCCCUCUUAAUAUUUACCUUUAGAAGUAAAAAAAUAUUAAAACGAAUUUUCUCUUUACUUAGUUAAAAAAUUUAUUUUAAAAGUCAUUUAGUCAAAUCGCCGGUCAACCACAAGUUAGCGGGCAUCCCGAGGGCCUAACACCUUCUCGGGAUGUACAUUGAACUUCAAACCUUUUUCAAUUGAUUUUAUCUGUUUUGAAUCUUUUGAAAAUUUUAACUUUUUCUUGAUUUUAUUAAAAAUCAAGUGGCGACUCCGUAAUUUGGAAAGUCGGUUUUUCUUAAAUAAUAAGAUUAAUUGAUUUUUCCUAAACCUAGUCAUCUUCACACUAUUUUUAAACAAUAGUUUUUUUUUUUUUAAAUAAAACAGUAAUUAAACCAUAAUAUAGCACAAUUUAAUCAUUGAAAAUGUUUUGAGAAAGAAUUCAUGCCUUGGAGUGAAAGUCCUAUCUUUUGGAGAUUUUUCUAUUUUAGCAUUGAGAGUUUGAGAACUUCGUGGAUGAAAAACUAUUGGAGAGGUUUUGAUUUGAUUUGGGGAUUUAUGAAUUUCGAUAUUAAAUGGGUUAUUUUUAGGCGGGAAAAAUACUUAUAUAAGUAGUUAAAUUAAGCAUUAAAGGACACCACUUGACAAUUAAAUGAAAAGGAAAUUGCGAAAAGACCCCUAGACACAACUGGAAAAAGGAAGUUACAUGUGUGAUCCACGACUAGAGACCCACAAACCGUGGGUGGGACCACAACCAGUACUGGUAGAUUAUCGGUCCUGGUCAGAGACCUGGUUUUUAGAGGCAUUACAGAAGACCCCCACAUAGAGGACGUUAGUGGACCUACGAGGCGUAGGUGCUUCUCAUGUGUCACUGCCACAUAUCUUUCUAGGCCUUUUCCUCAAGGACCAUGGUUGAUCCUUGGGGUUUAGGGCUUGACUUUCUAACAUGUAAAUAUUAAUUUUAAGGUACAAGACGAUAUUGUUAAGGCUCUAAUUAUGACGUCAAGCUUUUAUAUUUGCCUACUAGUUUUAGGUUAGACACUAGUUUAGCUUACAUAUUUUUAAAUGUUACGCUAUCUCCCCUUUGGAAACAUUCAUCCUUGAAUGAUGAUUUAGACACAAAACUCAUUUAGAGACUCAAUACUAGCAGCCCAUCAUGCAUGAAAUUUCUCAACAUGCAAAAAUUACAAAUGGACUAUUCACUACAUGCACUAUUCAAAGAAGGAAACAUCAACUCUAUUUCAAAAAUACAAAAAAUGCAAUACAACAUAGUAGGAACUCAUCUAACAACCCAAUUGUGCAUGAAACUCAAUAAUUAUUCAUGUUCAUCGGAGGAGCUACUUUUUCCAACUAAAAUAAUGCUCCACAUAAUAUGAUGGAGCCAAUAUACCAAUACUCUCAAAAGCAUAUUAAAUCAUGUUCUUCUACACAUCUCAUGAAGUCAAAUAGGUAACUAAGACUAAAUGCACAAUAACACGAGGCACAUAAAUCAUGAAAACUCAUUUUAUUACAAAACAUGAAUUUCAUCAAGAACAUGCAUAUCAUAGGGAAAUCAUGAAAAAAUUUAUACAACACACAUGACUCCCAAAACACUAAAACUUAAGAGGCACUAAUUACCUGAAGCUUGAUUAGGAGUAGAAGGAAAGAGAUGAGGAUAUCGGCAUCAACCUCAUAAGUAGCACCCUCAACUAGAUGAUUUCUCCACUGAACCUUGAUGGAAGUGAUUAAUGAUGUUUCAAAGAAAUUUCAUCUGAUUCUAAGCAUCAACGAUCGUUAAUCAGUAUAUAACGCAACUAAGUGAGUUAGGUUAAAUCCCGUCGGGAGCGGUACAUGUUCAAAAGUCAAUUGAGAAGUGCAAAUAUUACCAAAUCAUCAAUAGGAAUAGUCAUUAUCGAAUAAAAAUAUUUUAUAAAUCAGGGUGUGACACGAAUGUCAUAUAAGGGUUUUUUUGGUUUUAUUUUCAACUACAAAUAGAAAACAACGCAAAAUAAUAAUUAUGAGAUGGGUUCUUGGGAUGUGAUCCAACUAUAGGCUAAUAUAGACAAAUGGAUAAUUGAAACUAUUAGAAAAUAACCAAAUAUUAUUAGUAAGUUAGACUAUAGGGGAGGUAAACUUUCUCUCGAACAAUUUACCUUGAUUCAAGUCAUUUUCUCUUGAAUAUCGACAAGCAUGCAAAAUAAGACCAUCUCACACCUUAGUCCAGUCACUCUCUCGAGACUAAUGUGUGAAAAAGGGUUUAAGAUUCAAUCUCUCGAGCUGAACCCAUGACAACUCAAUAUUCACACACCAUCAAUCAAUAAUCUUAGUUUUAAAACCUCUCUCUAUCAAGCAAAAUAAACAAUGGUAUAACUACAUUGGAACUAUAAUUCUUGAAUUAAACCACAAUUAUUGAUUGAAUCACUUCUGAAUAGCAUUUGGAAAAAUAAUUAGCAAUACCCAUAAAGUAAAUCAACCCAUUAUCACAUAAAAACACACAAAGAAUCGGGGUUUUAGAUACACAUCAUAAAAAAUAAAAAUCAUUACCAAAUUGAGUUUGAAUCAACUAGGUAAGAUCGAUUUCAUCUUUACAAAUGUCUAAAUCAGACGAUCUCAACGACCCACUUCAAAUUUCUAAAAUAUGAAAAACUUCAAUUCUUCAAAGAAAAAGAAAAAUUAGACAAAACUUGUCUCACAUUUCAAAAGUUAAUAAUAUCUUCUAAAGAGUGUAUUUAAUUAUGAAUAAUGAUACUAAACUAAAUGUUCAAAAGAGUAUUUAUAGUCGCCAAAACUGUGCUGGGAGGAGCAACUCGACGCAGUAUAACGGGCUUGCCGAUCCACUCGACGAUCCGCUAUUUCGUCAAUUUUAUCGCCUUUUUUGAGUUGGCGUUGAGCAUCCUCAAGGUCUGUAACUUUUGGCGAUCCAACACUGCAUCGCAAAACCACACAGUGAUCCGCCAAGUGCUCAUUUCUCUUGACAACUUAGUUCUUUCUUCAGGGCUAGCAUAGUGGAAAUUUAGGCGGUCAAAUAGUCAUUCAUUGACUCGGCUUGUAGAGUUGGUGAUCACCAGGCUUGCUCCCUUUCAUUAUUUCUUCUUGCUUUGUUCCAUUUUGCAAAUUAGCGUCGUAGCUUUGCUCCUCAAUCCAUAUACAUGGAAAUCAAGUGUUUUUCAUCAGUUAUUGGCACAAAAAAAGCUUUUGAGGACACUAAAUCUAUAUAAAUAAAGUGUUCAAUAAGUCUAAUUCUAGGGCUAAUCAGUAAAUUACUUCCUUAUUUAUCAAUCUCUUGACUUGUCGAAGAAGGAUCUCUACCCGAACCUCCUCAUAGGAAAGACUUUCAUCAACACCUAUUCUUUCCAUAGGAAUAAUGGACAGAAGAUCCCGAAUACACCUUGUUGACACUCAAUUUUCGCCUAACAUUUUUAAAAAUUUCGUAAUUUUGAGCCACAACGCUAAGCCCGUUAUUUGAGCCCAUUUUGAGUUUUUAUUUAAGUGGGUAACUAGGUCAAAAGAGGGGGGGAAAUUUUUCUAGAAAAAAAAAAGGGAGAAACCCUUCCCCCCUCUCUCCAGCCGCCUCCCUCUUCUCCCCUCAUCCCCUCUUCUCUCUUCCUCCCAAACCCUUCCUCUCCCAUUUCGUCUCCAGCUCACAAAAUAGCCGCCUAAAACAUCCAGUCCACCACCACGCUGCUGCCAACAACUUCUGAGCUCGCAACGAACUUCAAGUAAGAACAAAUCUCAUUGCCUCUUCUCUCUUCCUCUACGCCGGAAUCCGACGAAACCUCCCUUCAAAACCCCUCUCCUCCACGCCGGAGGUUUGGCCAGCAAACAACCAGCCUUCGACCCUCAACCCAAAGCUCCGACCAGCAGCGACUAGUGAAAGAUGGAAGCGAAGCAGCAGUGCCAUCAGUCGCCGACUUCAAACGGACAGCAGCUCAAGCCAUCUCCCUUCUUCUCCUCCGUUCCCUUCCCCCCUCCAUCUCCAGUCGGUGACUCCAGCAGCAGCCAAAGAUGGAAAAUCGGCAAGGCCACCCGCACCAAAACACCAUCUUCAAUACACUUCAGCAAACACAGGUAGUCAUUUAUCUUAUUUUUUUUUUGCUAUUUUUAUUUUAUUUGCUUUCUGCGUUUUAGAUUUGGCUGGAGUGGUUCAAACUCCGGCCAUCGUUAUUUUCUAGCAAUAUUUUGUUUCUCAAAUGAAUACUUCUAGUUAGGAUUAUUGAUUAAGACAAAGCUUCCUUUGUUAAUGGGUUUGAUUGUUAUUAUUGA